rnacentral:rRNA from 1 species
AUGGAGGCGGCAGGGGAUGGCUCCAUGGGCAUGUUCGGAGGAACGCCGGAUGCCGCCGCCGCCAUCGGCAGAUCUGCCGAGGUUGCUGGUCUCCUGAACAAGUUGGUGAAUGGUCUGGGAGCAGCAGUUAUGGACAUCCCCAGCGACGAAUUCACAAUCCAUCCAUCAACUGACCUUUUAAUACAAGCCCUGCAGAAUUACUCUUGCAACACAUAUUUGGUGGAGCCAGUGCAUCACACCACUGAUCCUUGCUCUCACAUGGUCGAUUGCUGGGCAGCCAAGCUCAAGAAAGAUGCAGAAAUGAUACGCCGAGGUGAAAAGGGUGGGAAAUACAUAUUCCUCCUGAAUAACACAUAUGAUGUUUUGCAAAUGCUGCAGCCUCCAAGUGCCUCUUUCGCCGGUGUUGAAGAAUUGGAGAGUAGGCUCACAUCAAUGGUCGAGCUGUACAAGAAGUGCUACUUGGAUGAGUGUUGGGCUCCUCUGCAUCGCUUAAACUUGGACAUGUUUGCUGCUGAAUUUCGUGCCAUCUGUGACUGCCAGUCGACAUGGAAGGUUACGGCUGAGCUCAGGUACAAACUGCGGCAGGAGAUUGUGGAUUUCGUUGUUCCACCGUAUGAGGUGUCCUUGUGUGAUCGAAGCGGAGGUUCGGGGCUGUCUUUUCCGCUGAAACGACUGGUGUUCGGAGGGAAGAAACAGAAGAAGAGGUACUAUACUGGUGCCCAACUGGAAGGGAAGAUAAGAGGAUUGUUUGAGGGAUGA